rnacentral:rRNA from 1 species
UACGGGGAGAGCAAGCGUUGUUCGGAUUUACUGGGCGUAAAGGGCGCGUAGGCGGCGCAACAAGUCACUUGUGAAAUCUCCGGGCUUAACCCGGAGCGGUCAAGUGAUACUGUCGUGCUAGAGUGCGGAAGGGGCUACUGGAAUUCUCGGUGUAGCGGUGAAAUGCGUAGAUAUCGAGAGGAACACCUGCGGCGAAGGCGGGUAGCUGGGCCGACACUGACGCUGAUGCGCGAAAGCCAGGGGAGCGAACAGG